CCCCUUUCUCACCUUACCUAUCUGAAACCUGAGAGCAGCUGUAGGCCUGCCAGUGCUGGAGAGCAGGGGCUGGACUGGUCGGACAGGCCAGGCCGGGCUGGGGAAGGCGCCUGGGGAGCAGCCUCCCCAGCCAGCCUCAGUCUGAGGGCCCAGGGUGGGAGGACCUCACACAAGUUUGCAUCGCUUUGAUUCCCAAAGAUUUUCAUCUCACUAGAGCCUUCGCCAAGAGCUGUGAUUCUCAAUGCUGCCACACACUGGAAUCCCCUGGAGAGCUUGAAAUCAGUCACCUAGGAGCGCAUGCCCAGCCUGCACCCCAGGGUGGGACCCGGGCAUCAGCAUUUGUAAAAGUCCCCCAGAGGAUUCCAAGGUGCCGCCAACGCCGAGAGCCACUGGUCUAAAGCAGCUUUCACCUAAUGAAAAACAGCUUUAUUGAGGUAUAAUUGAUAUACAAAAUCUGCACAUCUUUAAUGUAUAUGAGUGGCUGAGUUUGGACAUAUGCAUACACCCGUGAAACCAUCACCGCAAUCAGCUUGGCCGUUGUGAAUAAUGCUGCAGUGACCAUGGGAGCGCAGAUAUCUCUUCAAGAUCCUGAUUUCAACUCUUGGAUAUAUACCCACAAGUGGGAUUGCUGGAUCUUAUGGCAGUUCUAUUUUUAAUUUUUUGAGGAACCUCCAAAUUGUUUUCCAUAGCGACUGUACCAUUUUACACUCCCACCAACAGCGCACCAGAAUGAAAGUCUCUUGGAUGCCAAUCUUGACUCCUUAAAGGAAUGACGUCUGUCUCUGAAAAGGGACCACAAUGAAGAUCCCUCCCCGUCGCAGUCAACACGGAUGCAGGCAUCCAUUCCCUCAGGACCCCUCCUCCCACAGAUCCGUGCUUGCUUUCUCCAACAUGCCUGACCAAUGUUAACCUCUGCUUGCACACCACCCCUGACGGGGCACUCACUUCCUGUCAAGCUAGAUCCCUGAACCCUUGACCAGCUGGAAGAUCCUCCUUGCUCCCAAGGAGCUGGACCCCACAUCCCUGGCCCCUCUACCCACUCCUCCUGGUUUUCCAAGACAGCUCAGAAGACUGAUCAUCUUCUUCAAGCGCCCCACAUCCAAAAGUGUCUUGAGGAAGGAAGAGGGGAGAAGGGGGGAAACUGGAGAUUUGCCCUUCUGCCAGCCUUGCCCAGCUUCCGAGCCCUGCCUGAACUCAGCCUCCCCCAGCGAUCCAGGUCCUGGAGGCUCCCUGCCUCAGCAGCUGCUUCUUUAAGAAGCGCCAGGAGGGGGGGGGCCGGUCCUCGCUACUGUCCUUGGAUCCUGUCCAGGGCCCUGAUUUAAAAGGUAUUGCAAGGUUUUUAAAAAACAAACAUGUGUUGUAACCCAAGGCCCUGGUAACCACAACACUGCCGGCUGCUAGCUGCCGCCUCCCAGGCUGAGAGGAGAGGAAGCUGCUCUCCGCCUACCCCGCAGCACCCCACACUCUGCAACGCGCCGCGCCGUACUUACCCUAUUAUAUCAGGCUGGGAGCUCAGCGAGGGCAGGGCCUGGGCUGCACCUGGGGGCUGCAGGCCUUCUGGACUGAAGUGCUUUUUGGACCCACACCAGUUCUCUCAUGAACCAUUCCAGUAGAUAGUUGAUGGCUCUAAGACCACGCUUUCUGUCCACUCCACCUGAGCCCCAGAGUGACCAUGCAUACACCAAUCUGAUGGGGCCACCCUCACUGCCUACAGGAUAAAGUAAAAUCAUCUUGACUGGGCUUUCAAGGCUUCCCCCUUCUACCUGUGUCUCCCUCACUCCCUGUAUUCGCCCAGCACUCCGGCCACACUGAGCCACUGAGCCCCCUGGAAAACCUGCACAGCGCUGGGCAUGAAUGUUCUUCCCCAUUUUCUUUCUUUUUAAUUUUAAUUUUUGUACAUUUAUGUGUUACAAAAUGAUCACCACAAUAAGGUCAGUUAGCACAUUCAUCCCCUCACAGAGAUACAGUUCCCCACUGUCUUGACAAGAAGAAGUCUACGGAGCCCAGCUGGGCCAUCACAUCCUGGGUGAAGCCUGCCCCACCCUGCCUUCUCCCAGACAGAACUUGGUACUCCUUUUGCUUCCAUGGUAUUUUUCCAUAUCCCUUGUUAUAUCAUUUGUCUAACUAGAUGAGAGGCAAUGUAACCUCCUGCAAAUAUUUUGUUUAGCUUGCAUGAUAGUUUGUGCGUGUGUGUGUGUGUGUGUGUGUGUGUGCGCGCGAAAGAGAGAGAGAGAGAGAGAGAUUUUACAUUACAAAGACAAAACAGAGGGCCAGCCCAGCGGCAGAGUGGUUAAGUUGGUGCGCUCUGCUUCAGCGGCCUGGGGUUCGCUGGUUUGGAUCUUGGGCGCAGACCUAUGCACCACAUAUCAAGCCAUGCUGUGGCAGACGUCCCACGUAUAAAAUAGAGGAUGAUGGGCACAGAUGUUAGCUCAAGGCUAAUCUUCCUCAAAAAAAAAAAAAAAGCAAAACAAAAUAAAACAUUUCUAGUUUCUUGUGAAAAAUUGGAAGGUCAGGCCAGUCUGGGCCUUCAUUUCCUUCUAACACCAUCCAGCGCAGCAUGACCACCCGAGCUCCUUUCCGAUGGGCAUAUGGUACCCACUUUGUAACCCCCUCCCUCAUGCUGGCCCUCUCCACACUUAUGCACCUACCCAACCCUGUAGACAUUUAGGUUCUAAGCCUUGGAUUCGAUCACCCAUUUACAAAUAUUCCAUUUCCUUAUCCCCGUAAACUAUUUAGAUGUUCCAGAAAUUCAAUAUGUUGGCAAAGAAUUGAAUCAGGUCAAUAAAAACUAUAAAUGUCACAAAUUCCUUUGCCAAAUCACAGGUUCCAAUUUUUGACUUGGGAAACACAGUCCCUGUCCUCACCACCCUCCGACUCUGAUUCCGGUUAGUGUCAUGUGGGUAAGACGCUCCCAUUGGAGUGGAACAAGGAAGGUGGCAUCAAGGCCUGGAAACACCGGGUUUUCCAGAAGGGAGGGGUUAGGGCAGUUAUCUGUUGGAAGAUUGCUUAAAUUGUGAUUACAUAGCAGGUGACAUAGGUGGAAAAAUAUUCACUUUUCAAAUCAAAGAAUGAGGCGGGCUGCUGGAAACUGGGCUCCCCACUGAAUAAGGAUCUACAGUAAAUAUGUUUGGAACUGAAUGGAGUUGAGAACACGAUGUUGGGUGGGAGCAUGCAGAAGGUGCAAACGGU
ensembl:lncRNA